rnacentral:rRNA from 1 species
UACGUAGGGGCUAGCGUUGUCCGGAUUUAUUGGGCGUAAAGGGAGCGCAGGCGGUGACUUAAGUCUGAUGUGAAAGCCCACGGCUCAACCGUGGAAGGUCAUUGGAAACUGGGUCACUUGAAUAUAGAAGAGGAAGGUGGAAUUCCAGUGUAGCGGUGAAAUGCGUAGAGAUUAGGAGAACACCAGUGGCGAAGGCGAUUCUCUGGACUGUAACUGACGCUGAGGCUCGAAAGCGUGGGAGCAAACAGGAUUAGAUACCCGGGUAGUCCCU